ACGAACGCUGGCGGCGUGCUUAACACAUGCAAGUCGAACGGAAAGGCCCCUUUGGGGGUACUCGAGUGGCGAACGGGUGAGUAACACGUGAGUAACCUGCCCUUGACUUCGGGAAAACUUCUGGAAACUGGGGCCAAUACCGGAUAGGAAUUCUUGCUGCAGGGUGGGGGUUGGAAAGCUUCGGCGGGUUUGGAUGGACUCGCGGCUUAUCAGCUUGUUGGUGGGGUAGUGGCUUUCCAAGGCUUUGACGGGUAGCCGGCCUGAGAGGGCGACCGGCCACAUUGGGACUGAGAUACGGCCCAGACUCCUACGGGAGGCAGCAGUGGGGAAUAUUGCACAAUGGGCGGAAGCCUGAUGCAGCAACGCCGCGUGCGGGAUGACGGCCUUCGGGUUGUAAACCGCUUUCAGCAGGGGCGAAGCUUGUGGUGACGGUACCUGCAGAAGAAGCACCGGCUAACUACGUG
rnacentral:rRNA from 1 species